GCUUCCGGCCCCUUUCCCUGGAGGGGCUUUGCGCGUGGCGAGUCUGUGUCCUCCCUGUCCCUCCGAGCAGAGAGCCUCCCCGUAUCUGGACCGGGGAGGAGCAGACGCUGGACAGGUUUCUGGGAGAAUGCUGGCAAUUCCCAGGAAGAUACGUGGAGAACGGAAAGGUUGCUACACCCAAAUAGUGGAGCAAAGCUAUGAUUAUGGAGGAUUGGACCUGCAAACUCCAGAACAGAGCAACCUUGUAAAAUGUGUGUGGGCAGCACAGAGACCUUGGGCAAGUUAACAGUUUCCUCAUCUAAAUAGUGAUUUAUGGAAAGCACCUGGUGCGUGUUCUGCCCUCUGAGGACCCUGCCCUUUCCCAAAAGGGAUAUCUUGAGAAGGAAAGUAUGGCUGCUCUUUGCUGGACAGCAGAGUCCCAGGCUGAACUCCAGUGCACCCAGUUAGACUUGGAGCGGAAACUCAAGUUGAAUGAAAAUGCCAUCUCCAGGCUCCAGGCCAACCAAAAGUCUGUUCUGAUGUCGGUGUCAGAGGUCAAAGCAGUGGCUGAAAUGCAGUUUGGGGAACUCCUUGCUGCUGUGAGGAAGGCCCAGGCCAAUGUGAUGCUGUUCUUAGAGGAGAAGGAGCAAGCUGCGCUGAGCCAGGCCAACGGUAUCAAGGCCCACCUGGAGUACAGGAGUGCCGAGAUGGAGAAAAGCAAGCAGGAGCUGGAGAGGAUGGCGGCCAUCAGCAACACUGUCCAGUUCCUGGAGGAGUACUGCAAGUUUAAGAACACUGAAGACAUCACCUUCCCUAGUGUUUACAUAGGGCUGAAGGAUAAACUCUUGGGCAUCCGCAAAGUUAUCACGGAAUCCACUGUACACUUAAUCCAGUUGCUGGAGAACUAUAAGGAAAAGCUCCAGGAGUUUUCCAAGGAAGAGGAGUAUGACAUCAGAACUCAAGUGUCUGCCGUUGUUCAGCGCAAAUAUUGGACUUCCAGACCUGAGCCCAGCACCAGGGAACAGUUCCUCCAAUAUGCGCAUGACAUCACAUUCGACCCGGACACAGCACACAAGUAUCUCCGGCUGCAGGAGGAGAACCGCAAGGUCACCAACACCACGCCCUGGGAGCAUCCCUACCCGGACCUCCCCAGCAGGUUCCUGCACUGGCGGCAGGUGCUGUCCCAGCAGAGUCUGUACCUGCACAGGUACUAUUUUGAGGUGGAGAUCUUCGGGGCAGGCACCUAUGUUGGCCUGACCUGCAAAGGCAUCGACCGGAAAGGGGAGGAGCGCAACAGUUGCAUUUCCGGAAACAAUUUCUCCUGGAGCCUCCAAUGGAACGGGAAGGAGUUCACGGCCUGGCACAGUGACAUGGAGACCCCACUCAAAGCUGGCCCUUUCCGGAGGCUCGGGGUCUAUAUCGACUUCCCAGGAGGGAUCCUUUCCUUCUAUGGUGUAGAGUAUGACGCCAUGACUCUGGUUCACAAGUUUGCCUGCAAGUUUUCAGAACCAGUCUAUGCUGCCUUCUGGCUUUCCAAGAAGGAAAAUGCCAUCCGGAUUGUAGAUCUGGGAGAGGAACCCGAGAAGCCAGCACCGUGCUUGCUGGGGACUGCUCCCUAGACUCCAGGAGCCAUAUCCCAGACCUUUGCCAGCCACAGUGAUGGGAUUUGCAUUUUAGGGUGAUUUGGGGGCAGAAAUAACUGCUGAUGGUAGCUGGCUUUUGAAAUUCUGUGGGGUCUCUGAAUGAAAACAUUCUCCAGCUGCUCUCUUUUGCUCCAUAUGGUGCUGUUCUCUAUGUGUUUGCAGUAAUUCUAUUUU
rnacentral:sRNA from 1 species